AAGUUGGAUUCGCUAGUAAUCGCGCAUCAGCCAUGGCGCGGUGAAUACGUUCCCGGGCCUUGUACACACCGCCCGUCAAGCCAUGGGAGCCGGGGGUGCCUGAAGUUCGUUACCGCAAGGAUCGACCUAGGGCAAAACUGGUGACUGGGGCUAAGUCGUAACAAGGUAUC
rnacentral:rRNA from 1 species